rnacentral:rRNA from 1 species
ACGCUGGCGGCGUGCCUAACACAUGCAAGUCGAACGGAGAUAUGAUUUCGGUUAUAUCUUAGUGGCGAACGGGUGAGUAACGCGUGAGCAACCUGACCUUCAGAGGGGGAUAACACUUGGAAACAGGUGCUAAUACCGCAUAAGACCACGACCCGACAUCGGGAUGCGGUCAAAGGAGCAAUCCGCUGAGGGAGGGGCUCGCGUCCCAUUAGAUAGAUGGCGGGUAACGGCCCACCAUGUCGACGAUGGGUAGCCGAGCUGAGAGGCUGAUCGGCCACACUGGAACUGAGACACGGUCCAGACUCCUACGGGAGGCAGCAGUGGGGAAUAUUGGCAAUGGGCGCAAGCCUGACCCAGCAACGCCGCGUGAGGGAAGAAGGCCUUCGGGUUGUAAACCUCUGUCCUUGGUGACGAAACAAAUGACGGUAGCCAAGGAGGAAGCCCCGGCUAACUACGUG